CUAAGAGCCACAAAAAUCAGAUGCACAAAAUGUCAGAUCCAACUGACUGGGAGUUUAUUAAAAGGCAAAAGUAUUUCUCUGAGAUCGGCAGUGAUGACAAAACCACAAGCAGUGAAUACACAGAGCAAAGAGAUGCAACUGCAUGAAUUACCGACUGUGGAAUAUAGAGCAAAUAAUUUGCGAUAGGCUGCUGCGGACCAUCAUAUGAACCAAUCGUCCUCAGAGCCUGACACAUCGUGAUUACAAUCCGCAAAUCCCAGAUGUCCAAGUCCACCUUGGAGCGCACAAAGUAAAACUUCUUCCCCAUCCUCCGGAUCUCCUGGGCCAGUUUGGCGUGGUUGGCUCUGAACCGCUCCGAAGCAAUGACGAUGAAGAAGUCAUAGCGAUUGAAUGUCACCUGCUCCAGGCCCCGGAGGGCAUUGAGGAAGGACGAUUUCCCAGAUCCUGACUCCCCUGUGAUCGCGAUGUUGAGCUCGGUGUUGUUAAACAACUCGUCUGACUUCUGCACCACACACGCUGCUCCUGAGAGGUCUCCUGCUUCGAGAG